CAACAACAAUUCCUCACAUCCAGAAACGCACAUUCCAAUCGUUCCAUUGAUACCAGCAGCCAGGAAUCCACCACCUAUAAUACACCUAUAUAAUAUCAACUGGACAACCAAUCAGGCGCUCCCAGUGUAUACAGGAACGCAAACAGCGCGAAAUUUAAAGCACGCUUAGGAGUGCUUUAUCACGAGUGUUUUGUACUAGUUAAAACAUGAGCAGCCG